GCGCCCCAUCCUGGGUUCUUCCCUGCCUUGUGCCUGUAGCUGUGAGUGUGCCCUGUGAGGGGUUGGCGCCCCAUCCUGGGUUGUUCCCUGCCUUGCGCUUGUAGACUCCGGAAUUGGCUCCAGACUCUCCGCCACCCUAAGCAGGAUAAGCAGUUUCAAAAAAUGGAUGGAUGGAUGGAUGGAUGGAAGGAAGGAAAUUCACAUUGUCCAUAAAAAUACAAAACUUGUGGCCAUGUUUAGUUUUAACUCCAUUUAAUGUUAAAAGAAAUUCAACAUUUCAUUAUGCUUAAGCAUGAUUAGUGCAGACUCCAGUGGCAUUACUUAAAUUAAUUAAUUAAAGAGUCCUUUGGGAGAAAAACAUUUAUUUAAUAUUCUUGCUUUUUUUUUAAAGUCUUACACACAUUCUUUCACAUAAGAGUGGUACGUAUGUGCCUAUGAAAUUUAAUGACGUUUUAAAGCACAUAUGAAGAGCAAAUUUCCAAAACUCACCCAGUCCAUUUUUUUUCAUUUUUGAGAUGAGAUCAAUAAUGACCUAAAGUAAGGCUUCCUCAUUAUAUGUUAGUGUUGAGAAGUCUCUCAGUCCUUAUGUGACCCAUCUAACUCGCUAAGACAAGUCAGACGUCCUCAUCGUGUUACAGUAUCGGGAACCAAAACUCAAAGUCCUCAUGAAGUAAUUGAGCUGGUGGAGAAAUGUAACAAAUUCAUAGAUUGGCUGAGGUGUUUGGGGACCAAUGGUCAAUUUACUAGCCAUCCAACAAGAUCUGUCACUUUUUGGAGAACAAAUGAAAUUCUUCUUUAUUUUAUAUUGUUAUUUAACCAUUUAACUAUUUUCUAUUACAUGCAUUGAUUUAUGAUGAAUAGUCUAUAUGGGAAAAUGGUAAAAAAAAAAACAUAGCAGUAAACGUCCAUUACCAUCACCUCUCUGGCCUUAGUGCCACCUACUGGUCACAUUACACUGACGCAGGAAUGACACUCAAAGUAAAAAAUGAUGCAAUAUACUUUUAAACUGUGUGUUUUGUUGUGUGACUGCUGUCAGUGCAAAAAUGAUUGUCAAGGGAACCCUGAUCCCUCACAGCAUCCACAAGGGGGCACUCAUGCAUCACUAUAAGUUCUCUUUAUUUUGAAUUUCUAGAUGCAUAUAAAGGUCUGAGCUGAAAUGUAAUUGUUCCUACUAGAACCAAGGACCAGCAUUUCUGUGCCACUGCAUCCCUGUCUUAUUACAGAGAUGGGUGCCAGGAUUGCAAAAUGCUAUUUCUGAAAAACAUUUACCAAGCGUCUCUGUUAUUCUUUUCAGCUGCUUGCUUAACCAAAUAAAUCAAGAGCAUUUUAAGGAAGAAAAUCCAGAAGGUUCUAACCAACUAAAAUCCAUGGAGGGGAACACAACAGUUUACCAGCCAUUUGGGUUUUUCAUUAUGGGCUUUCAGGGCCUGAAGGACACUAACUAUUAUUUCAUGUUGUUGGGUAUCCUUUACUUCGGAACUCUUCUAGGGAACUUUUUCCUGAUGAUGGUGAUAUGGCAGUCUGAGGCUCUUCACACGCCAAAGUACAUGGUCGUGUUCAGCUUGUCUGUCAUAGAUGUGAGCCACAGUACUGCCCUUGUGCCAAAAUGCAUCGAUCAGUUCCUCUUCAACUCACAGUUUGUGCCGUACAACCUGUGCUUGACCCAGAUGUUCUUCAUCCACUCCUUCUACACCAUAGAAUCGUAUUCUUUGGUUAUCCUGGCUUUUGAGAGGCUGGUCUCCAUCUGUUUUCCCCUGCGGAGCAGCACCAUCAUCACCAACACCCGAAUGGUGGGCAUCAUCGCUUUCUGCUGGGUCCUGGCCUUUACUCUUCUGGCUACAAUGGUAGCUCUGAUCACUCGCCUGUACUUCUGUAAGCCAAUUCCCGUCGUGGUAAGCUACUUUUGCGAUCAUGGUCCAGUGUUUAAAAUGGCCUGUAGUGACAACACUGUGAACUGGAGGGUUACUAGUGUGUUCCUGGUUGUUGUCAUUUUUGUGCCCCUGGCAUUCAUCCUAUCCUCGUAUGUGUGCAUUGUCAUCGCCAUCUCCCGAAUCAAUUCUGCCGAAGGGCGAUGGAAGGCAGUGAGAACCUGCACCGCACACCUGAUUCUGGUAGCAAUGUUUUUCAUGCCCAUCCUGGUGAUUUACACCAUUGCAUGGAUUAACGUCACAAUUGAAGUUAACACCCGAAUUCUUAACACAUCACUGUCAAUGGUCUUACCUGCCCUCCUGAACCCUAUCAUUUACUCGCUGAAGACAGAGGAGGUGAUGGAGCAAAUUAAGAAGCUUCUACGAAAGCAUGUGAUAAAAUUAAAAUAGUAAUUUUAGUACAUCCUCAGUUAUGAUAUGGAAUUUUGAAUGAAAUUACAUGUCCAAUAUACACGAAAAUAAAUAAGACCAAAACAUGGAGAGAUAAAUAUAUCACCGAUGUUUAAUACACAUUCAUUUACAAACAUUCUAAUGGAACAUUUGAUCCUCAAUCUGACUAAAGCAUCUAUUCAGGCUCCAGAGUCCAAGUGGUUUUACUCUAACAAUCACCACCUGUGGCUAUAUUUACUUCUAUUAUUGCUGUAUUGUUGUUGGGCCUGUUACUGUUAUGUACUGUAUUAUUAUUUUUAGAUAUGUUUGCAAGUGCUUCUUACGUGUUUUAUAUGCAUAGAAAGGUAAAGUAUAUACUAUAUAUUGAGACAAACAUUUAACUAAAUAAAAUAGGAACUCCAUAUGCCUGUUCCGAAUUUCCUACAAAUUCGACUUAGAUCUGAUUUGUAACCAGUCUGUAACUCUGUCUCCUGCCUUACCAGCCCAUUCCCAAGAAGGCAUUACACCUGUAAAUAGGAGCUAUAUCUGAAUUUUCCUUCCAGUGAUUUUAUUUCCAUCAAUUUCUCUUUUGAUUUUACAUGUAACAGCCAGUGUUAUUUAAAUGAUAAACAUGUAAUGUCAUGCAUUUGUAUACUUCUGUCAAGCUUACCUGUUGUCUUAGUGUGUCUUGUGAUUGCCGGUUAUCCCACCCUGAAUGCCCACAUGUCUUGCACCUGUGUCUUACCCUUUGUAUGUAAGGUCUUAAGCCUGAGCUGUAGGUUGAGCAUUUGUUGUGUGUGGUUGUGGGAUCCUGGACUCAGCAUAUGCAUCCUGGUUUCCCUGUAGAUGUUCUUGGCUGCCAUGAGACAGUUGUGUAUGUGCUUUGCAUAAGUAACAUUACUAAGUGAUAUUUUCCAAGACGAGGUUGGAUUUUCUUUGGUAAAAUGAAAAAAAAAAAAAAAAACACA